rnacentral:rRNA from 1 species
AGAGUUUGAUCCUGGCUCAGGACGAACGCUGGCGGCGUGCUUAACACAUGCAAGUCGAACGGAGACAAUAGCAAUAUUGUCUUAGUGGCGGACGGGUGAGUAACGCGUGGGCAACCUGCCUUAGACAGGGGGAUAACACAGGGAAACCUGUGCUAAUACCGCAUAACACAGAGAGAAGGCAUCUUCUUUUUGUCAAAGGA